GCCAUAAUACAUGCAAGUCGAGCGAACGGACGAGAAGCUUGCUUCUCUGAUGUUAGCGGCGGACGGGUGAGUAACACGUGGAUAACCUACCUAUAAGACUGGGAUAACUUCGGGAAACCGGAGCUAAUACCGGAUAAUAUUUUGAACCGCAUGGUUCAAAAGUGAAAGACGGUCUUGCUGUCACUUAUAGAUGGAUCCGCGCUGCAUUAGCUAGUUGGUAAGGUAACGGCUUACCAAGGCAACGAUGCAUAGCCGACCUGAGAGGGUGAUCGGCCACACUGGAACUGAGACACGGUCCAGACUCCUACGGGAGGCAGCAGUAGGGAAUCUUCCGCAAUGGGCGAAAGCCUGACGGAGCAACGCCGCGUGAGUGAUGAAGGUCUUCGGAUCGUAAAACUCUGUUAUUAGGGAAGAACAUAUGUGUAAGUAACUGUGCACAUCUUGACGGUACCUAAUCAGAAAGCCACGGCUAACUACGUGCCAGCAGCCGCGGUAAUACGUAGGUGGCAAGCGUUAUCCGGAAUUAUUGGGCGUAAAGCGCGCGUAGGCGGUUUUUUAAGUCUGAUGUGAAAGCCCACGGCUCAACCGUGGAGGGUCAUUGGAAACUGGAAAACUUGAGUGCAGAAGAGGAAAGUGGAAUUCCAUGUGUAGCGGUGAAAUGCGCAGAGAUAUGGAGGAACACCAGUGGCGAAGGCGACUUUCUGGUCUGUAACUGACGCUGAUGUGCGAAAGCGUGGGGAUCAAACAGGAUUAGAUACCCUGGUAGUCCACGCCGUAAACGAUGAGUGCUAAGUGUUAGGGGGUUUCCGCCCCUUAGUGCUGCAGCUAACGCAUUAAGCACUCCGCCUGGGGAGUACGACCGCAAGGUUGAAACUCAAAGGAAUUGACGGGGACCCGCACAAGCGGUGGAGCAUGUGGUUUAAUUCGAAGCAACGCGAAGAACCUUACCAAAUCUUGACAUCCUUUGACAACUCUAGAGAUAGAGCUUUCCCCUUCGGGGGACAAAGUGACAGGUGGUGCAUGGUUGUCGUCAGCUCGUGUCGUGAGAUGUUGGGUUAAGUCCCGCAACGAGCGCAACCCUUAAGCUUAGUUGCCAUCAUUAAGUUGGGCACUCUAAGUUGACUGCCGGUGACAAACCGGAGGAAGGUGGGGAUGACGUCAAAUCAUCAUGCCCCUUAUGAUUUGGGCUACACACGUGCUACAAUGGACAAUACAAAGGGCAGCGAAACCGCGAGGUCAAGCAAAUCCCAUAAAGUUGUUCUCAGUUCGGAUUGUAGUCUGCAACUCGACUACAUGAAGCUGGAAUCGCUAGUAAUCGUAGAUCAGCAUGCUACGGUGAAUACGUUCCCGGGUCUUGUACACACCGCCCGUCACACCACGAGAGUUUGUAACACCCGAAGCCGGUGGAGUAACCUUUUAGGAGCU
rnacentral:rRNA from 1 species